ACUCCUACGGGAGGCAGCAGUAGGGAAUCUUCCACAAUGGGCGCAAGCCUGAUGGAGCAACACCGCGUGAGUGAAGAAGGGUUUCGGCUCGUAAAGCUCUGUUGUUAAAGAAGAACACGUAUGAGAGUAACUGUUCAUACGUUGACGGUAUUUAACCAGAAAGUCACGGCUAACUACGUGCCAGCAGCCGCGGUAAUACGUAGGUGGCAAGCGUUAUCCGGAUUUAUUGGGCGUAAAGAGAGUGCAGGCGGUUUUCUAAGUCUGAUGUGAAAGCCUUCGGCUCAACCGGAGAAGUGCAUCGGAAACUGGAUAACUUGAGUGCAGAAGAGGGUAGUGGAACUCCAUGUGUAGCGGUGGAAUGCGUAGAUAUAUGGAAGAACACCAGUGGCGAAGGCGGCUACCUGGUCUGCAACUGACGCUGAGACUCGAAAGCAUGGGUAGCGAACAGGAUUAGAUACCCUGGUAGGAUAGCG
rnacentral:rRNA from 1 species